AUGGUAAAUAUUGUUAAAGUAACAAUAUAUAACGUUUUAUUAAAUACAAAAUUUAUAUAGAACAGAAUAACUAUUUUAUAUGUAAUAUAAUAAUAUGAAGUAUUAACGAACACCGCUCUAUUCUCUUAUACAUGUCAAACAGGAAUGAAUUUGUUAUAUUGCACAUUCAUUCGUUCAAUACAUACACGAUGCGUUCGUCUCAUGGCGUUUUCCUUUUGUCUUCCUCUUUUUCAUUCCUCGCUCGUACAAUACAGAUCUACACACAUCUCUUUUCUAACAAAUCUAAAGAAAGUUACUCGUGACAAAUAUCCUAACAUUAUGGACGUUUCUAUUUAGCGAUAUUAUUGAGAUAUGUGUAAUUUUGUGUGCUACACUGGAUUAGCCGUGUAGUAGUGACACACAUAUGAGUAUGAGUGUGUGUGAAGUAUGUGCGUGCGCAGCAUCUCGUAAAACAGAAGAAUGCAAUGUUCCGUACGUAUGGUAGUAAAAAAGAUGGCGUGAGAAAAACAGUGCUGAGACGCGUACAAUGUUUAUCUAUGAGUAUCUUGUAAAUUACAUAUUAUAUAAAUAUGAAACUAUUUUAAUAUCAUUUCUAUAUGUAAUGUGAGUGUUCCUAUACAUUUAUUUCAGCGACUAAGAUCCACAAUUCUCAAUAGAUAUUAUGGCCGAAUGGCAAAUUCGUGUCAGAGGAGAAACUUAACCUUUUACACUCGAGGACUUUUUUGGUCGAGCAUAGCAGCUACUUUGGAUGAUUUAGCGUGUACGUGACGCGUGUAUCACAGCUAACGUAAAAUUAUUUUAUAUAUAAAUUAACUUACAAAAAUAUUAUAUUCUAAUAAUUUAUCUAUGUUUACAUCUUUGAGAAUAUGAUCUUGUAAUAUUAAUUUCUGUAUUUUAUUUUUUGUACAAUAAUUUAUGAAGCAUUCACCAAGAUGCAUUCUUGAAUAUAAUUGACCUCAUUUUUCAACAGUUCAAAAUCAAGUACAUUUUCAUUUGAGCUAAUUUCACUUCUGAAAACCAUUUUUUAAGGAUUUCUAAAUUAUAAUACUUUCGCCAUGAUCGUCGAAUCCGAACUAACGUUGGAGGCGUUUUUUAAAACCAUAGCUUCAGACGGAUAUUUUAUCUCCAUUUUUAAAGUUUAACACUUCUUAACAAAGAACAUAAAGAGGUAAGCAACCAAUUUACGAACCAAUAUUGUACUCAUCAAUUGGAGAUGUCGAAAUCUAGCAUAAACAGGGACUGUCGCCUCACGCUCUCGCUUCAACGUAGAACGCCUUGAUUUUGACGCGGAUAAUAACCAAAUUUCCUGAAUAAUACCAAUCCACAAAAAGUAAGCAAUAUCUAAAAUAAUAUUAACUACGUUACACGCUAUUUAAUAAGCCACGGAAAAAGAAAAAAAUAUUGCGAAACAAAGAGUAGAAAUAAAAUACACUCGAUAUAGGCGAAGCUGAAUUGUGUUGGAAAUCAAAAUGUUUAAACUAACUUUUCUCGAUUUUAGGCCAUUGUAGGUAGGUAGAGUUCUGCACAAAAGAGUCCAAUUAUCCAUUAUAUUAACAAGUUUCAACAUUCGGUGGAACAAAUUUAACGCCUAUUUAAUAUACUAAUUCUUCAGUACAUUAAUAUUUUACUAAAUAUACAAACUGUUUGCAAAAUUUUGGUACAAGCGGAAAGAAGGUUCUGAAGAUUAUCUCCAUUAAAAAAAAAGCCGAAUUUGAAUAUUCGUUAAGAACGUACGCAUCUCCUGCCCACAAAGGUCCACAAUUUUCGCCUUGUACAUAUUCAAACGUUAAAUUUCACAAAUUCAAGUUAAAACAUCUUCUAAACUAAAAUAACUUUUUCACACAAAUGAGUUAAUUUCUUUUUUUGUAGGAAAUACUUAUAUGAACUAUACGAUUCCAUUAAAAAAAAGAAAAGCGUGUCACCUUCGUAUGACCUAUACUUAGCUGUCUACAAAAAAGCUAAUUACACCGGAUUAUGUCUGCUCUGAUACCAUACAACCUCUGUUCGUAACAUCUUCUCGUAUUUUCGAUACUUAGAGGAAUAAUCGUGGAAGCUGGUGCAUGUGCAAUUGAUGAGUAAUUUUACUCUUGAAGUUUGAUAUUGUAAGAUUAUAAAUCGCUAGCGAAAUUGUGAGAUGCUAAGAAAUAUGUAAAAUCAGUUCUCAAUUCCAAGGCCUCCGAUCCUCAGUUCUAAACAAAUAUUUUCAAGAAAGAAGCAGCGACUGAUCAUCUUUAUCAAUAUAGGUAAGACGCCACUAAAAUAUAGUUUCCGCGUUAUACGUACUGGAUAUCAUUAAGUCGCUACGUACAUUCUGUCUACCUCUUCCUUUUGCAAAUACAAAAGCAUCCGCGAUAUCGUCAUAAAUAAUGAUCGAAAAUACGUGAUAAAUAUUUAAAAAAUUUGAAAAAUCGAAUUCGUAGGAGAUUCGGUAGAUAAAAUUAAUUUUACGAAUUUAUGUUAUAUAAUUCGUGGAUGCUUUGGUGGAUAAAAUUAACGUUAAGAAUUUAUGUUAUAAUAUUUAAUAUACGAUAUGUAAUAUAUUUUUAAUAUAAAUUUCUACAUAUAUUACAUAUAGCAUAUUUCUAAUAUAAAUCUGUAUUUGUACACUGAUCCCUCAACUGAUACACUCAAUCGCAUUACGUUUAAUGACAUUAAUAGCAAGUCAUUGUACGUGUACGUACUUUUUCUUUUGUACUGACGAACUUUAUUCGCAUUUUCAUUUUCAUUCCCGGUUGAGAUGAAUUAUUCUUCUUUACAAUAUUUACGUGUAGCAUUAAUAGCAGUAAAACAUUAGUACUGAAACACACACGGCCAUGUAAUAUUGAUAUUGUCUAUAUCUCGAUGUUUUCUAAAUGUGCGCCAUAGACAAUUGAUCAUUCCAUAAAAUAUCUGCAAAAAUUUCAUUGGAAAAACAUGUUAACGUAUGCGUGCUUGAAUUAUGAAACUCUUUUUGCAAGGAGAUUGGUCAUACUGUUGUAGAAAAAUAGCAGCUGGAAAACAGGAUAACAAUACCCAAUAUUUCUACGCGUUUACAAUGUCGAAGAGAAACUGGUACUGUUGUCGGUAACAUGCUCCUCUCGUUCAUCUAUCCCCUUUCCAUUCCUUUUACGAAGCUGCAUGGGAUCGAGGGUACAUUCAAAUAGAAAGUUUAACACAUACGAGUAGUUGGCAAUAAACGUUAACGAAGCCGCAGUUACUAUUAACCACGAUCAUGUCGAUAGCCAAGGGAUACAGUGAAUGGAUGCAGCUUUGUUUGCGCGCACGAUAAAGCACGAGAGGUAUAUUAGUAGAUUUUGAACAGUAUCUAUGUACUAUAUUAGCGCGGAAUACAAUUCUGAAUAAAUAACGAAGUACGAGCACUUGUACUACGCUGCAUUCACUGUACCAUCGAUACAGCUUUUGUGUUUGUUAUAUACACGGAAAUCAUUAUAUCUUGGGAAUGAACGCUCGAAAUAAGAUUCUGGACGCUGGCGAAGUUUAUUGAUUCAUACGUUGAACAUGUACUACGCGUACAGUGCUGUGAAUAAUUACAGACUCAAACGUAUUUUCCGCAUUAUUUCUUCGAUAUUUUCAAGAAACCAUUGUUCAUGUCUGAAUAUUGUUCAGUGAAGUUGUGUUUGUAGAGGGUGGAUUGAACGCUAUGGGAUACGAAGCAAUGUUACAUGGCGAAUUAUUGUUUUUUAUAGGCGAAAUAAAAGACAAAAGACAAUUUUUCAGCGAGACUGAAGCGACUUUGAAGCUUUCAAAAUUUCUGGAUAGAAUACGAAAGUUUACAAUCACAGGAAGCUACCUGUGGAAAAUAUCGCGCAACUUGAAAAAAAGGUAAAUUCCCGCGUGGGCGGAUAUUCAAAACGGAACUUUAAAUAAGUUAGCGGAUAGCGUGCUUGACAGAUUAGUAGAAGUAAUCAAAGAUAAAGGAAAAUCCACUAAAUAUCGAAUGAGAAUGUGUUCAGAGCGAGAAACACAAUUUUAGGAGAAAAUUUAACUGUUUGCUGUAUCUUCUGUUUUCUUCCAUAUUGUAAUAUGAAAUUAUUUCAGCGAUUUCGCCGAUUUUUGUUUUAAUAUUGCAACAAACUUCAAAAUAGGACUAAGUUUAUUAUAAUCAGUCGCUGUAUAUCGAACACAAAUGCGUUCCUCAUCCACAAGAUUGCAAAUAAAUUGUUCAGAGCAAACCUACCGAAGAUCUACAGCAACCUAUAAGGAAUCAUCAUACAUAAAAGAUGAAUUUUUCAUAGUAAAAACGCAAAGAAUAUAAGCAAAACGUACUUCACGUGUCUAAGAAUUAUCUACUGGAUAAAAAAAUGAAUAAUCCAAAUUUUUCAGCGAAAUUGAAAAUUUAUUAAAAAGGAAAUACAGCCAGUUUUCCGGUCAAAAUAUACGCCGUUGUUUUCUAUAAUUUUAAGUCAUGUUACCAUUUUAAUAGAGUCCAUCGUGGAGAAAUGCCGUGUCUACAACAAGUGCCAAUCGUCGUCAAGUCAUAUUUGUGUUUCAUCUAACUAAUUGGAAAUGGAUAUUGGAUAACGCGUGUUACAUCGAUCGGAAAUAAUCUAAUAAUCCAAAGGAGGAAAAUGUCUAACGAACAAACUGGCUGCUGCAACGUUUCCCACCCAAGAUUCGUCGUGACGUCUUUUGUGGCAGAAGCACUUGGAAGAAGCUGUCACGAACAUCUCUCGAUAUUAUUUAUAUCUAUUAAUUUAUUUAAUUAUUUUAAAUAUAUUUGACGGGUUGUAACAGAAAGUUCUCAUUAUUCUAUAUUACAAACCUCUACAAGUCUUCUGCAGGGUUAAAGACAUUUUUCCACGAUCCAAAUCAUCCAGAUCGAAGCGCCUUAAAGUUACAGGAAGCAACGACAAACAUAUACCUUGAUCGAUCAACUUGCGAUAUUUUUCUGUUAACAAACUUUGAAUUUUACUUUGGAAUAUUUGUAUCACUCAUUUGUAUCAUUGAUUUUUCUCUAACGAUUUUAUUGCUUCCCUUAACAUUUCCUACCUUUCAUUAAUAAUUUACUGGAGUGCUGUUACAUUGCCGAGAAAAAUACUGUUACAUAUAAGUAACAAACAGUAAUAAUUCUAUAUGAAAUAAUACCAAUAGUAAUAAAGCAAUAAUAGUAAUAAAAGUAAUAAACCAAGAUAAAUAAACCAAGACUGUUACUGGACUGUUAGCAAAAUAAAUUCAGCGUCAAAUCAAAUCUCACAAUUUGGAGAAAUUGUUCUUAUUCGAACCGACAAUAUUCGAGAUCCAAAUAUUUGACAUAUCAACUGCAACCAAAAGUCAAUGCAGAUGGCUGUAAGGUUAACGCAUGCAAAUUAAUUCUACAAUCAUGAACAUUCGAUGCAUCCUAAUUUCCUACCAUCUUACUUCGAUAACAAUAGUCUUCGCUUUGGUUCAUCUUCAAAAUACAUAGUCGUCGGUAUACCAGACAUCGAUCUCGUUUCUUCGUACUUUCUUUCGAUUCGCUGCUACUUUUUUCUUUUUUCGAACGUGCGCGUAUCAGAUUCGUUAAAAUUUCCGAUCCUAGGUCAAUGAUUUUUCAUUUAUCGCAUACCCUUUUUAUAUACCGUUUUCUAGUAUCCACUCGCAGCGAACUGUGUUUGCUGCGUUACGGUAUAGUGAUUUAUAUCAUGGCUCUACCGGUGCAUCGAUAAUGCUGGAAAAAGGAACAUCAGGCGAAUAUAUAGGAGCGAGUGUGCGUCUCGCUUCGCUUCGAUGGCUUUCGUGUUUUUCCUCUGUUAUUACGGACCACCUCGCUCUAAUCGAAGUCUUAUUUCGUAGCGAACAAUAUGCGGAAUAUAAAACCGCGGGUGCAGAACACGAUGCGCGUGUUCAGGAAAAUAUUAGGUUGGUAUGAUCACUAGUUCCUACAUGCAAGGUUGGUACGACUUCUAACGACGCUCUUUUGUUUUGGCGUCCACCAUGUGUUAAUUAUCUGAGUGUAUUCGGUGUGUUGAUAUGGCCGGUGGUGAAAUACAGAAUAUAAAAACUGAAUCUGUGUGAAGCAAUUAAAUAUCGAACUCCAAAACCUAUUUGAUAACAGCAUGGAAUGGAAUAUUGUACAGAUCGUUUCAAAGAGUGGAUAUGGCUAUAGUUUACAGACGAAUAUGAAUAUGCUAUGUACGUAUUUAUGCGUAUUAUGUGGAUUCUGCUGCGCUUGUUAAAAGUACACGAAUCGUAAGGAAUAUUCUAUGCAGGUAGAAUUUAGAAGAAUUUCAUUUGCUACCCGUGUGACAAGAAAUUGUACGAAAUAUCUAAUAGCUGAUAUGCUCGCGAAGGACUGACACGUGUGUCCAAGAAUGAACUUCUCUAUGAUUUUAUCACAUCUACAGCAGAUAUCUCAUGAUUCAUUUUUUAGUAAUCAUUCCUAGAAAUUAAAGUUCAGAAACCAGACAGUUUUACGAUGUACACAGUUUCGUACGUAUCGUAAAACUGGUUAUAUUUUUAACACUGAUCAGUCUUAAUACAAACACACAACAAAUACGCACAUGUAGAUGGACGGCUUGGUGUGUGAUUACCGACAAUUAUUUCGCCGACAAAAUUUACAUCGACACCAGUUUGACUGACACCAGUUUCACCCACAUUGUUUAUUCACCGACAUGUACAAAUCACCGGCAAUGUUUUCGACGUUCGUUUCACCGGCACAGAAUUUUAAUUAAUAUACAGGGUGUUCACUGUUCACGUUGUUAGAUCGUUUUUCUCGUAAACGAUAAGAGGCAUGAACGAGUGAUUCAAAGCGAAUUACAUAUUCACGGUAUUUUUUUCGCAAGCGUAAAGAUCUGCGUGCGUUUUGCAUAUGUCGAAUCCUCUCGUCAUUUUAUGAAAAAAGCUACAGUGUUGUGGAUAUUUGUAGACUGAAACACAUUUUCUGCGUUGUUGCUUCAAGACUGAUAGAAGUAAUAAGAAACAAAGUGGAAAUUUAUAAGGAAAUUAACACUGAGUUUACACUUCUUCAUAGCCAAAAAAUUAUAAUUAUUCACGACACUGUAUAUAUUAGGGAAUCAUUGUCGGCGAUCGAUUAGUUUGGAAGAUGUUUUCACGCCAAUUUUUUCGCAUACCAUAUAAAAAAGAAGGAAAGACGAAGUGCUUUUGUAUUUAUGUUUCCUUUGUCUUACAAUAAAUUGUAUAAAAUUAAAAAUACAAAAAAAAAGGGAAAGAGAAAAUUCUACAAAGUUAAAAUAUCAAAAUUAAACCGAUCAGUUUUUGACUUUGUUGCUCUAAUAUCUUUUUUAAGGUUUCCAUCAAAGAAGAAGGUUUCUAUUUAAAAAAAAUAAUAAUAAUGCAACUGCGUAAGACACACGCGUUCUUUGCACUUGCGAGAAAGAUAUUAUCGCGAAUAUGUAGUUCACCUUGAACCAUUCAUCUUUUUCCUCUUUCAUUUUUCUUCUUAACUUCACUUAUCGUUUACGAGAAAAACAUUGGGAACUAAUCAAUCUUGAACAGUGAACACACUUUAUAUAUCUGUAUAUUUCCGAAUAUUAUUAAAAAAUAACCGAAUCUGUCAAAGAAAAAGAUAGUUUUAUCGCGUGACUUUGUUGAUUAUAUAUAAGAGAAAAAAUAAAAGGAAAUACGGUAAAAAUACGACAAGAUAAUAAUAAAGUUACCAGUGAUCGCGCAUCAAUCUUAAAUGUGCAAAUACGAGAAAUGAAAUAUCUUCCAAUAUUAUAAAACUAAAUGGAAAAAAUAAUCGAGGAAAAUAAUACUUUUAUCGUGUGACUUUGUUGAUUAUAUAGGAGCGAGAAAAUUGAAGGAAACACGAUGGAAAUGUAACAAUCUUGCAGAUGUAUCGCUACAGAUUCUCAUGCAGUACAAGCCGUAUCGGUCACGUAAAAAAUUACAAGUUAUACUAGUGCAUAUCAUUGAAGAAACAAUCCGUAUUCUACAGCGAGCUGCACAUGUAAACCUACCUACAUACAAAUUUGUAUUUGUUGAAGCAUCAAUACGUGACUGAAUUUUUCAACGAAUUGCUUUAUACCUCGUACCAGGAGAAUGUAUCUUAAGGUCACGAUGUAUCGUUUCGUUGGUAACAUACCAAGGUGCAUCUAUUAAGGAUCUUAGAGUUUUUGACUGCAAUCGUUGAAGAAUUUCUAUGUUGCAAUUACUCGCUGUUCCCCAUAGUUGGAUCCCAUAGAUUCAAACAGGUUUUAAUAUGGGUGUUUAGUUUUUGGCACAAUUCUCUUUACAGCGGCUUCUUUCGUCUCUAUCAUAUGUUGGCAACUAAAUGAUUGCGGAUUUUGUCAUUAGAUGGUAUUGACAAAAUCCGCAAUCACUUAGUUGCCAACCCAAUAGUAUCGCAAAAAGAUCGCCGACAUACAGACAAUGUAGACGAUAAAGCGCAAAUACCGACAAGCCGAAAGGAUCGGAAAACUUCAAUAAGCCUAACGGCUAUCAAUAUAUUUCGGUAUCGCAGUCGUUGAUCGUUCAGUUAGCCACCAGAGAGUGAAAAGUGAAGAGUCGUUAAUCGAGAGUUGUGAUAUUACAUUACUGCGUUAAUUUCAAGUUAAAUAAUCAUCGUUUUCUGUUUAAUCUACUGUAAUAAAUCCAUCUGUCAAUACAUUAUCAUACAGGAUAGAAACCAGCGGAAAUCCUAAUUCCUAACAUUUCUGAAUAAAAAAUUUCUGAAUGAUACAUUUAUACUCUCUCUAUUCUGAGAUAUAAAACCUCAACGGUAUUAAUGUAAUUUCGAGAUUCGUGUGCCAUUGCAGUACUAACGCAACACUAUAACGCACAUAAUAUAUUCAUAAAAGUUGUCUUGUGUAAUAAGUAAUCAAACAAUUUUGCGAGUCACGAUACUUUAAAGAAAAUUAGAAUUUAUCUUUCACAGGCAAAUUAUGAACGAAAAAGAAGUUUGUAAUUUCAAAAUGUAAAAGUUACAGAUGGGAAUAUAUCACAGUAGAAAUACGUGAGAGAAUUAUUCAUGGCAAAUUGAUUGAAUGCCUUGAGAGAAGUCUGCUAAAUAUAGAUUUUCCGGUAUUUUUACGGUGUGAAAUAUACAUGGCGAAAUGUAAUACCUUCUUUCGAAAAGUUAGAAUCGUGUAACUUCGUUUUAAAAAUAGUUUUACCAAUGUUGCGAGGGUACAGAAAUGCUUUCACGUUGCGUCUUACGCUUUAAAGUUGGAACGGAUGAACUUUUACUUCUAGCUCGUAACUUUACUCAAAGGGAAAGCUUUCCUAGGAUUUAUAUCGUUUAUAAGAAAGUGCCCAUCAAGUAUAAAUAAGAAGUUUCUUUCAGAAGACACGAAUAUUUUUCUUUGCAACGCCACUCGCUACUUCGAACUAUUUAAAAAGUAAAUAAGCGCGAUAAAAUAAAAAUCUCGUUUACUCUACUCGUAAAAGCGAGGUGAAAUAAAAAUUAAUUUCCUACAUCUAAAGUAAAUCGCUUGUCCACUAUUUUCCCUAUAAACAUCUUAUUUAUUGCUUCAGUGAUAUUUUUUUCGAUAAACCCUAGGUGUAGACUAUAUAUAAAUUCCAGACGAAUUAUUAAACUUUCAUUUAUUAUGGUGUUUUUUUCCUUUCAAUUUAUCACUUGGACAAUUACUAUAAUCUUUUCAUAGAACUUUUUACGUUGUACUUGAUGAUAUGAACAGGUGUCGAAAUUUGAAUAACUGGAUAAUUUUUUUGCAGAGAAAUUUCUAAAAAAUUUGUCAAAAAAUUACUAUAUCUGAUAUAGCUAACACAGGACGAUGAUUCUCUGAUAAGAAAAGAAAAAUCAGCUGAUCUGACAAAUUAUUGCGACAUAAAAUAUGAUACCGCCUGCAUUGUGGACGUAUGAUUCCUUUGAUAUCGUUGUAUCGAUCACGCUCUUGUUUUCACUUCUCACAUAUGCAUAUUGCAUACAUAAAAACAUAGUGAUCGCACCAAUGACAGGUUUCCAUAUUAGAAUAUCUAGCGAAUAAAUUGCAUUUAGUUAUACAGGGUCGUCUAAAAAUCAAUCCUCACGAUUUCUCGAACACUUCCGACAGUCGAGCAAUUCGUAUAAAAGAAACAAACAAUUGUAUCAAUGUCUUUAACGUUUCUGUAGAAAAUUGUGUACGACGAAAUUGACGAACAACUGUUGAAAAAAAUACUAAUAUAUCAUUUAGUGAUGUGAUACGAAUGAAAUGGUAUAAUUAAUACCCACGUAAUUUUUAAGUCAGUUGAUCUCCAAUUUCAAACUGCGUCGCAAGUAUAAUUUCAUUUUAUUGUUAAAACAUAGAAGCUUUCCAUCUGUUGCAAUUAUUGGAUGAACAUUUAAGAUGAAGUUGAUUACGAUUAAUGCACGUUGAUUAUAAUUAAUAUCUACGUAAUUUUAAGCUAGUUGAUUUCCAAUCUCGAGUCGCGUCAGGUGUACAACUUCACUUUAUCGCUAAAGCAUGAAAGCUCUUUAUGCAUAAUAAUUGUUGGAUAAACGCUUAAGCCGAAUUUGAUUAUAAUUAAUACCCGUGUAAUUUUAAGUCAGUCGAUCUCAAUUUCAAUUUCACAUUGGUCAAUUUCAAAUAGUGUCACGCGUACAAUUUCAUUUGGUCGUUAAAACGCAGAAGCUUUUGAUCCGUAACAAUUAUUAAAUAAACACUUAAGGUGAAGUUGAUUACGAUUAAUGCACGUUGAUUAUAAUUAAUAUCUACGUAAUUUUAAGCUAGUUGAUUUCCAAUCUCGAGUCGCGUCAGAUGUACAACUCCACUUUAUCGUUAAAGCAUGAAAGCUCUUUAUGCAUAAUAAUUGUUGGAUAAACGCUUAAGCCGAAUUUGAUUAUAAUUAAUACCCGCGCAAUUUUAAGUCAAUCGAUCUCAAUUUCAAUUUCACAUUGGUCAAUUUCAAAUAGCGUCAGGCGUACAAUUUCGUUUGAUCGUUAAAAUGCAGAAGCUUUUGAUCCGUAACAAUUAUUAAAUAAACACUUAAGGUGAAGUUGAUUACGAUUAAUGCACAUUGAUUAUAAUUAAUAUCUACGUAAUUUUGAGCUAGUUGAUUUCCAAUCUUGAGUCGCGUCAGAUGUACAACUCCACUUUAUCAUGAAAGCAUGAAAGCUCUUUAUGCAUAAUAAUUGUUGGAUAAACGCUUAAGCCGAAUUUGAUUAUAAUUAAUACCCGUGUAAUUUUAAGUCAGUCGAUAUCAAUUUCAAUUUCACAUUGGUCAAUUUCAAAUAGCGUCACAGGUACAAUUUCAUUUGCUCGUUAAAACGCAGAAGCUUUUGAUCCGUAACAAUUAUUAAAUAAACACUUAAGGUGGAGUAGAUUGCAAUGUAAGUAGAAGGAACAUGGCACGAACGUCUAAUUCAUGGAGGUAAGUAAUCUUGAUAUACCGUUAAGAGUACGUACACUUCACUGGCCACGAGUCGAGCUUCGAGUUUGCACGUGGCUAAUAUUCUAGCACGUGGAAUGCGGCCAAGCUAUCGAAUAACCAAGUACAAUCAACGUUAACGACCGCGUGUACGAUGUAAGUACACUUCAAUAUAACAAAUUACCGAUAAAUCUACGUCCUCUGGUAUUGUAAAGUUAAGUGGGAAACAUGUUCACUGAUAAAUCGUAUUGUCAGUAUUUUAAGCCUACCACGUUCCACGAAUUUUUACAUUUUUAAUCUUUUUCUCAUUUUAUAGAACGAAAAGAAUUUGGAAUAGUGUUAACCUCUUAGGUACGGUUGAAUUUUGUUUGUUGUUUCUCGCUGUUGUCUUGCUGGUUGUUUCUCUGUACGGCAGAGAUUGACGAGAAUUACGUGUAAACGAUACAGCACUGCAAUAUGUGACGGAUAAUGCUGUUCUCUACGCAAGCACAUUGGAAGGAAGUUUUUGAUAAUAAAAUUCUAAUUUUUCUUAAAGAUAUGAUGCGUAUACUUUAACUUAAGUAAUUUACUUUAAUAAUUAAUAUUGCAAUUGAGUGUGAUAUAUUUUAAAGCACUGCAUGACACAUAGAAUUUGUCACAAUUUUUACACUCAUAGCGCGGUGUUUUUCAAACUGCUCUUCGUUUUCUGUUUUGAAGCUACAUUUUGAGGUGGAAGAUUCUAAAAUGUUAUAAAGAUACUCAUCGGCAUGUUAAACAGAGCAUCUAACAAUGGUAUAUUUAUUUUAACGAGAAGCAACAAUUGAUACUUGACACUGGCGUAUCAAAGACAAAAACUAUAUAUUCUGUCUGUAUAUCGUUAACACUGUUAUAAAAUGUUGUGAAAGCAAAAAGAGUGUGAAGCAAGAUAAAUGAAAAAGAUCAUUUAGUUCAAACGGAGCGAAUGAGUCAGUAAAGUGAGCCACCAUAGUGGCGCGUCGUACCUAGGAGGUAAGACGAUGUUCAACCCUUUGAACUUCAUUGUCGAGUAACUCGAAAUUAAUUUUCUUCGCAGAUACACCGAGUCGUACUAGAUAUUUUUAAAUUGUCAGAUUAAAUGUGUAUAUUUGGCAAUAUUUUUUGUACUUAGAUAAGCAAUAUUACAUAUCAAUGUCAUUAGCAAAAAAAUUGUUUAAAUUGCUUCCUAUCAACCAGCUGUUUGAUGAAGUACAUUUUAAAUAAAACGCCUAAAACGAUAGAGAGCUGUUGAAAAGAAAAGUAGAAAAGAAUUAGAAGUUCAAAAGGGAUAGCAUAAGAGUGAAACGAGAAAUCGUGCAUGCAAAUAAAACUUUGUUCAUAUUUUGUUCAUUCUAUAAUGUUAGAAAAAUACAAUUAGCUCGGAAAUAACCGAAAGAACGUAGGAAGGUUAAUAACUUUCUUUUUAUAUAGGUCUUAACGACGCAUAAAUUGCAUCUACGUGGUAUGUUUACCCAUAGAUCUCCAGCUAUUAAUCUAACGUUACUGUUUUAUGCUGAUAUUAUACUGAUUAGAUUCAUUCUACUUAUUAGAAAAUCUGAUUUAUAGUUAAUAAAUUGCACAUAAUUACGAUAAGAAA